GGAAAAAAUUCUUUGUUCAGAGUGCAGCGAAGCACUGGCGCAGCUGCCCAGAGAGUCUGUGAAUACCCAUCCCUGGAGGGGCUCAGUGCCAGCCAGUCUUUCACAUGUUCAAAAGAUCGUCGAUUGGUGAUGUCGAAGACCAGCAAGCCGCCGACAGAAUUGCGAUAGUAAGAUCGUGUUAUUGAUCUGCAGAGAAAAAAACAAGGAACAGAAGAGGGAAAUUAAAAUACAUCUUCACUUCAUUUGGAAACAGGAUACUUUUCCACUGGGCAGUUUUGUUAAAUCUACUGUAAGUUUAUGAAAUAUCUUUGCUGUUUUUGAAAUUGAUUGGAAUUUAUUAACUUUUCCACACUUAAAUGCUCAUUUUUCAUUUUUUCUUAUAUGCAAAAGUCAUUUUCUAAACAUUCUUGAAGUCAGCAUUUUGGGUGCCAAUUUUGAAUGCUGAGUAUUCUGAAAACACUCUUUGUUAGCAAACUGUUGCACGUGUUCACGAAAUAGUACUUAUAUAUAUUUUGUCAAAUGCUUGUUAGCUUUAACCUUCGACUCAUCCAGUUUCACACAAACAUUCAUUUAUCUUCGUUCUAAUCGGUUAUUUCAAAAUAAAAUAUUUAGGCUAAUGUCCACAAACCUGAAUCCUUUUGUAUUCCUUAUGGACAAAUUGUUUGACCACAAGAACUGUACAGGUAAUCCCUGUUAUUUGUGCUUGCAGCGGUCAUCAGGUAACAUACUAAGAAAGGAAAUUCCCCAGCAGCACUACACAAAAUUGGCUGAGCUGGGCACAAACUUUUUACAGCAUGGACAAAACAAAUUCUGCUUCCAGCAGAUCUUUCAUGUGAAGGUUGAAAAGCUCUUUAUUAAUUGCAUUUACUCUUUUUUUGGCAGGAAACUCCCAAGAGUAGUGAUGUUUUCUACUUUUCAGCUCACUCUGUUCCAGACCAUUCACUAGAAUUAAUUUUGGAAGGAGAUCCUUUCUCUGAAAAGAUUUUGAAUAUGUUCUAGAAGGGAAAAAAAAAAAAAAAGAAGAAGAAAAAAAAAAGAUUUUAGGUCUCUAAUCACCUUAGGAAGAGACAUUUUAAAGAACAUGAUUGGCUACCUAGGACUGGACGCAAACAUUAGUUACAUAAACAUACAGCAAGGUGUAUGUGUACGUUUUUCCAACUGAAAUGGGACAGAAAAUCUAUAUGGACAGUCAUUUUUGAAAUAAUAAUAUAUUCAAGAAUGAACCAUUUUAUCAUAUGAUUACGGAGAGAGUGCAGCUCCAGAACAUUUUGAAUUGGGAUUAACUCUACACAACAACAAAUACCUGCCAUUAAAGGAGCUCCCUCUCAUUUUCAAUUAAUCACAUCUCAUGCGUUUUCUAACAGUUUGAACACUGAAGUAUAAUUAGGAGCAGUAGUCACGUUACAGAUAGCCCACAGAUAAGGCUUAGAUUUCUCAACAUAACUUCAUUUAGUCACAGCAAACUGCAUUUGCAAUUGUUUUAUUUAGGUAAUAGGGAGGGUUUGUUUUCCAAAUAUUUCAGAAAGAUCUUUUCUGCAUUCCCAGCAACAGUCCAUGGAGCAGGUCUGCAAAGAGUCUGAAUGUGAACACAACAAGAGCUUACCCUCAGAUUGAUUCCAACAGCCUGGAUAUGAAAAGUGACCAUAAAUAAAGGGUGUUGUAUUUUGUGAAGUAUUGAAUAAAGAUACCACAAAGAUCA